rnacentral:rRNA from 1 species
AGUGAACGCUGGCGGUAGGCCUAACACAUGCAAGUCGAACGGCAGCACAGUAAGAGCUUGCUCUUACGGGUGGCGAGUGGCGGACGGGUGAGGAAUACAUCGGAAUCUACUUUUUCGUGGGGGAUAAUGUAGGGAAACUUACGCUAAUACCGCAUACGACCUACGGGUGAAAGCAGGGGAUCUUCGGACCUUGCGCGAUUGAAUGAGCCGAUGUCGGAUUAGCUAGUUGGCGGGGUAAAGGCCCACCAAGGCGACGAUCCGUAGCUGGUCUGAGAGGAUGAUCAGCCACACUGGAACUGAGACACGGUCCAGACUCCUACGGGAGGCAGCAGUGGGGAAUAUUGGACAAUAGGCGCAAGCCUGAUCCAGCCAUACCGCGUGGGUGAAGAAGGCCUUCGGGUUGUAAAGCCCUUUUGUUGGGAAAGAAAAGCAGCAGGUUAAUACCCCGCUGUUCUGACGGUACCCAAAGAAUAAGCACCGGCUAACUUCGUGC